rnacentral:rRNA from 1 species
CAGUAGCCGCGGGAAUACGAAGGGUGCAAGCGUUAAUCGGAAUUACUGGGCGUAAAGCGUGCGUAGGCGGUUUGUUAAGUCUGUUGUGAAAUCCCCGGGCUCAACCUGGGAAUGGCAAUGGAUACUGGCAAGCUAGAGUGUGUCAGAGGAUGGUGGAAUUCCCGGUGUAGCAGUGAAAUGCGUAGAUAUGCGGAGGAACGCCGAUGGCGAAGGCAGCCCCCUGGGCCAACACUGACGCUGAGGCGCGAAAGCGUGGGGAGCAAACAGGAUUAGAUACCCCAGUAGUCCCUGUCUCUUAUAA